rnacentral:rRNA from 1 species
UACGUAGGGGGCAAGCGUUGUCCGGAAUUAUUGGGCGUAAAGGGCGCGUAGGCGGCUAUUCAAGUGGCGGGUGAAAUCCCUCGGCUUAACCGAGGAACUGCCUGCCAGACUGGAUGGCUUGAGACCGGGAGAGGUGAGUGGAAUUCCCAGUGUAGCGGUGAAAUGCGUAGAUAUUGGGAGGAACACCAGUGGCGAAGGCGGCUCACUGGACCGGUACUGACGCUGAGGCGCGAAAGCGUGGGGAGCAAACAGG